rnacentral:lncRNA from 1 species
AUGACCCUGCAGCAGGUCUAUGCCAGUGUAAACAAAAUUAAGAAUGUGGGCCAACAGCUCUACAUCGAGUCGAUGGCCAGAUCGUCGGUGAAGCCAGUGAUGGAGACGUGCACGGAACCGCAGGGUAGUGGUGAGUCGUCAGAGUGGCCUUGGCUGCUCUCCUACCUAUCUCUUCACAGAGAGCAAUACGUUUGCAAGCUGAGCAGACAGACUGAGGCCUGAGCUCUUUCCAGCUUGCUGAUUACGCAAGAAACAGUAGCAGUCUUGAUAACAGCAAGAUGGCCGCUGCAGAGUAACACUGGCAAGCUAAAUGGUUUAGCUCAGUACACUUGAAUAAAGAAGAAACUAUUUUGACAACAUCAGAUUCUUAGUUUGUUUCCUUUCUGAGAUUUCCAGGUGUACUAACCCCUGCAAUCAGGAGGCACAGGCUAACCUGGUCUUCCUAGUGAAUUCCAGGACAGCCAGGGCUCCAAAAUGAGACCCUGUCUUCCCUACAAUUUUUUUCAAAAAAAAAAAAAAAAAA